AUGGGAGCAUGCAUAGAAAAGCGGCUGCGGUCACGGGCUGAUGGACGAGGAGUCGAGGACGACCCUGCUGUCUGCUGCUGCUCCUGGUUCUUGCCGAUUGAAGUGGAAGACUCCAUGGCCGGCUUUUAUUUGAGUUGUGUGGCUGCCGUUUGGAGAGAAAGGAGCAGAUAGGAGAGAGGUGGGUCUGCCUGUAGAUGGACUGCAACAGGGUGGGAAAAUCCCCAAUCCUGCACGCGCACAUGAACGAGGGCCCCUGGAGGGGUCGCAGGAGGACUGGAUCGGCAACGCAGCGAUGAGCAAGGCCUGCGAACUCAAGCUCACAUCAUGGGCUCUCCUUCCCCAGGCGGCGCGGAUCGGGAGUAGCCGAGUAGGGGCGGAUUGGGAGCAAGGCGGAUUGACGAAACUGAAGAAAUGGACAGUGUUUGUUUCCUGACAUCGGGCUCUUUAUCGGGUCACACACGUUGACGAAUGCAUCUGUGGGCAGAGCACGACACGGAGGUGCCGGCGGCGCGGCGAGCAGGGACGAUAGCGGAAGGGAAGGGAAUGAAGAGAGAAGAGGGGGGGGAUAGGGGAGAGGCUGACAUGUGGGGACCACACGUCAGGUGCCACGUCGCUACACAAUCAGCGUGCCAUGUCAGCUCAUACCGAGUGAAUCUCGCGUCAAAAAUUAGUUGUCUCGUCGGUGCAGGCAGAGCGGCAGAGGAAAGAUGGUUGAGGCUCUGUCAAUAUGCUUUGCAGAGCAAAUCUGUAGAAAAUUGCUGACUGAGGAUAUCCAGCCUCUUGUCUGUGAGAAUGGAACUGCAAUGAUUAAGGUUCAUUCAGUAUGCCUAAACAAGUGGUUUUGCUGUUUCUGACCUGGAAAGGAAUGAAGCUCGCAUGCUUUCAGCCUCCAAUCACAAGCCGUGGUCCUGUCACAGGAGAAGAUGCUGGUUCCAUGAGCUCAUUCUUAUUUAGAAAAAGUCAAUUUUACUCUCCUCACCUAUCCACUUUAUCGCAUAACCCCCUAAAUAGCUCCCCUGAACUAUUUCAUUUGGUCCAAUCUACUCCUAAUUAGAUUUCUCUUUUUUGUU